rnacentral:rRNA from 1 species
GACGAACGCUGGCGGCGUGCUUAACACAUGCAAGUCGAACGGUGAAGCCCCAGCUUGCUGGAGUGGAUCAGUGGCGAACGGGUGAGUAACACGUGAGCAACCUGCCCCUGACUCUGGAAUAAGCGCUGGAAACGGCGUCUAAUACUGGAUACGAGAAGGGUCCGCAUGGGCACUUUCUGGAAAGUUCUUCGGUUGGGGAUGGGCUCGCGGCCUAUCAGCUUGUUGGUGAGGUAAUGGCUCACCAAGGCGACGACGGGUAGCCGGCCUGAGAGGGCGACCGGCCACACUGGGACUGAGACACGGCCCAGACUCCUACGGGAGGCAGCAGUGGGGAAUAUUGCACAAUGGGCGGAAGCCUGAUGCAGCGACGCCGCGUGAGGGAUGACGGCCUUCGGGUUGUAAACCUCUUUCAGCAGGGAAGAAGCGAAAGUGACGGUACCUGCAGAAGAAGCACCGGCUAACUACGUG